UUCGUCGUUGCCAAAACCACGAAACCAGGAAACCCACUCAACCGCCCGCCGCGCCGCCCCAGCCGCGCCGCUUUUCCCGUCUAAGCUCGCCAUCCGCCUCGGCGCCGCAAUACAUAUGGCCGGCGCCGCCGGUUCCGCGCGGAAGGUAUCGGCCGUGCUGUACCACUACCCGUGCCCGGACGGCGCAUUCGCCGCGCUCGCCGCCCACCUCUACUUCUCCGCCGCCGCCCUCCCCGUCCGCUUCUUCCCCAACACCGUCUAUGACCCCAUCAGGAGCGAUGGUCUUCCGUUUGAUGAAAUCGAAGACGUUUACCUUCUUGACUUCGUAGGGCCUCCUGGUUUUGUUGCUGAUAUAGCCCCGAAAGUUCAGAGUGUAACAAUCUUAGACCAUCAUAAGACUGCCAUGGAAAGUCUGUGUGGGAGUGCCACACUUGGAGAAAACGUGAAUAAGGUGAUUGACAUGCAACGCAGUGGAGCAACAAUUGCAUUCGACUACUUUAGGAACAAGUUAUUAACAGAAGCUAGUACUUCACGGAAUCAUGGAAGUGGUAAUUCUGUAACUGAAAUGAAAUAUCUACCUGAAAACAAGCUUGAAAUGGUGCACAAGCUUUUCAAGUUUAUUGAGGAUGGAGAUCUGUGGAGAUGGACUAUUCCGAAUAGCAAGGCCUUCAGCAGUGGCCUCAAAGAUCUGAACAUUGAAUUUAAUGUCAAUUCAAAUGGGAAGUUAUUUGAUCAGUUGCUGGAGUUGGAUCCCGAGCAAGUCAUUUCUCGGGGACAAGUAACAUUAUCGCAGAAGCAAACAUUAAUUGAUGAUUGUUUGCAGAAGUCCUUUGAAAUUGCACUAGGAUGUGGCCAGUUUGGGAAUUGUCUGGCUGUCAAUGCUGAUGCUAUUUCAAUGCUGAGAAGCGAACUCGGAAAUCAGCUCGCUAACAAGAGUCGGAAUUCCAAUCUGAGAGCUAUUGGCGCUGUAGUAUAUAAAGUCCCCGAGUUGAAUAACGACGAGAUGCUAAAAAUCAGCCUGAGAAGUUUGGGACAAGAAGACACGACUUCUAUCUCCCAGGAAUUCGGAGGUGGGGGGCAUCGAAAUGCAAGCUCAUUUCUGUUGAGUGUUGCAGAAUUUGAGAAGUGGAAGGUUGGAGCUGAGCCUUCCAAUGCAGAAACUGCCUAGCCACCCAGUUUUCUCUAUCAUUUCCAUCAAUCAAGGAAGUGCUAAGGUUCAGAAGGAAGAAGAUACAAUGGGACCGGCUAGGUUUUAUGUUUGGGGGCGCAGCCCAUCAUCAUGCAAAGGAAGGAGCACAUUGCAGACGUGUGUGGAGACUUUAUUCAGCAUUGUGCUAUCACGCCAGCCGUAUUGUUUGACGCUCAUAAGUAUGCUGGGGGAGCAAGCAGGGCUUGCCUUACCAAGUUUGCUGAGACUGUUUGCCUAGAACGGGCUAGCUUGCUACGACUUCCAUAAGCAACGGCACUGCUGUACUGUGGUACUAAUUAGCAACUUAGGGUUUGAAGUUAAACAAGCGGUUCCAGUAGACAUGGCCAAGGAGGCAAGGACCCUCCCAAAAGCUAAGAGCAUCUCUCCAGCCGCGCCCCUAGAAAGGCCUUCUCAGACGAUUUUUUCGCGCCGGCGCCGAAAAAAUGGCCCAGUCGCAUCCCGAGGAGCCGGACCCAGGCCGAAUCCGGUGCGCCCAGGGGCGCCGGGGCGAGUUGUUUUGGCGCGAAGCAGCCGCGGGCCUGCCGAGUCAGCGAGACCGGCGCUUCGUCGCCCUCAUCGCCUUGGUUCCUGCGGGAAUCAAUGCCAAGGCUGCUGCCGCCGGUCAGUCUUGCCAUUGAUUCGUCACGGGGUGGUGCGGCGACCCCUCUCCUCCCGCGCAUGCGUACACACGGGCGUGGCUAUAUAAAGCCGGUGGCCUUCUUCGCCUCUGGCCACACCAGCCCUAGCCGUCGAGCUCUCCCUCUCCCGUGCGCCGCCGCCGAGCCCUCCCUCUCCCAUGUGCCGCCUCCGAGUCCUUCGAGCACUACGACAGCCCCGGCGAUGGCCGAACGUUUCCUCGGCGACGAGGCGGCGAUCAACGGCUUCGGCCGUCGCUCGCUCCGCGAACAGGAGUCGUGGCUCCUGUUCGAGGCCAACAUCUCGGUGCCGCCAUCAGUCCGCCAUGGCGACGCUGGGCAGGGGUGUACCAGGGACGGCCGCGUCAAAGAGGAGAAGGACGACGAUGACGGUGGCGACGACAGCGACUACUCCGUGUUCAGUAAGUUAUUUUUUAGAUAUAUUUGCUAUAUAUAAGCAGCGAACAUGUCUAAUACUAGCACAAAUGCCCGUGCGUUGCAACUCAAGACAUUGCUAGCUAUCCCAUGCAUCUACUUAUUUUCGUUUGUCUCGCCCUACUAUCCUCCUCUACCUCGGAGAACUCCUCUAAUACCUGGCAGCGAGCUUCUUCGCAUUCAUGAAUGUAGUAUUUUGUCAACACACCACUUAUUGAAUCUCAAU